rnacentral:rRNA from 1 species
GUGCCGUAACUUCGGGAGAAGGCACGCUGACACGUAGGUGAAGUGAUUUACUCACGGAGCUGAAGUCAGCCGAAGAUACCAGCUGGCUGCAACUGUUUAUUAAAAACACAGCACUGUGCAAACACGAAAGUGGACGUAUACGGUGUGACGCCUGCCCGGUGCCGGAAGGUUAAUUGAUGGGGUCAGCGCAAGCGAAGCUCCUGAUCGAAGCCCCGGUAAACGGCGGCCGUAACUAUAACGGUCCUAAGGUAGCGAAAUUCCUUGUCGGGUAAGUUCCGACCUGCACGAAUGGCGUAAUGAUGGCCAGGCUGUCUCCACCCGAGACUCAGUGAAAUUGAACUCGCUGUGAAGAUGCAGUGUACCCGCGGCAAGACGGAAAGACCCCGUGAACCUUUACUAUAGCUUGACACUGAACAUUGAGCCUUGAUGUGUAGGAUAGGUGGGAGGCUUUGAAGUGUGGACGCCAGUCUGCAUGGAGCCGACCUUGAAAUACCACCCUUUAAUGUUUGAUGUUCUAACGUGGACCCGUGAUCCGGGUUGCGGACAGUGUCUGGUGGGUAGUUUGACUGGGGCGGUCUCCUCCUAAAGAGUAACGGAGGAGCACGAAGGUUGGCUAAUCCUGGUCGGACAUCAGGAGGUUAGUGCAAUGGCAUAAGCCAGCUUGACUGCGAGCGUGACGGCGCGAGCAGGUGCGAAAGCAGGUCAUAGUGAUCCGGUGGUUCUGAAUGGAAGGGCCAUCGCUCAACGGAUAAAAGGUACUCCGGGGAUAACAGGCUGAUACCGCCCAAGAGUUCAUAUCGACGGCGGUGUUUGGCACCUCGAUGUCGGCUCAUCACAUCCUGGGGCUGAAGUAGGUCCCAAGGGUAUGGCUGUUCGCCAUUUAAAGUGGUACGCGAGCUGGGUUUAGAACGUCGUGAGACAGUUCGGUCCCUAUCUGCCGUGGGCGCUGGAGAACUGAGGGGGGCUGCUCCUAGUACGAGAGGACCGGAGUGGACGCAUCACUGGUGUUCGGGUUGUCAUGCCAAUGGCACUGCCCGGUAGCUAAAUGCGGAAGAGAUAAGUGCUGAAAGCAUCUAAGCACGAAACUUGCCCCGAGAUGAGUUCUCCCUGAGACUUUAGGUCUCCUGAAGGAACGUUGAAGACGACGACGUUGAUAGGCCGGGUGUGUAAGCGCAGCGAUGCGUUGAGCUAACCGGUACUAAUGAACCGUGAGGCUUAACCUUACAACGCCGAAG